UCAGAUGAUGCAAGUGAAGGCCACGAGAGAGAAGUGGAGAGAGGACCAGGGAAUGAAUGAUCCAAUGUCUUGCUGCCCCACCCACUGAGACAAGAGACAAGAGAAGGAAGAGGAAGAAAAAGAAGAUGAUGAAGAGGAAGAGGAGGAUGACUUUGAAGACCAGCAGACAGGCAGACAGACAGACAUUGACACUACUAAACGAAGAAGAGGAGGAGGAGGAGGAAGAAGAAGACGAGGAACACAGGAGGAACCCAUUGUGAGUG